AUUGAACGCUGGCGGCAGGCUUAACACAUGCAAGUCGAACGAGUGGCGGACGGGUGAGUAAUGCUUGGGAAUCUAGCUUAUGGAGGGGGAUAACUACGGGAAACUGUAGCUAAUACCGCGUACCAUAAGAUGAGCCCACGUGGGAUUAGGUUGUUGGUGGGGUAAAGGCUCACCAAGCCGACGAUCCCUAGCUGGUCUGAGAGGAUGACCAGUCACCUGGGAACGGAGACACGGUCCAGACUCCUACGGGAGGCAGCAGGGGGUAAUAUUGCCCAAUGGGGGCAACCUGACGCAGCCAUGCCGCGUGAAUGAAGAAGGCCUUCGGGUUGUAAAGUUCUUUCGGUAGCGAGGCGUUAACUACAGAAGAAGCACCGGCUAACUCCGUGCCAGCAGCCGCGGUAAUUC
rnacentral:rRNA from 1 species